rnacentral:rRNA from 1 species
UAGGGCGAAAGCCUGAUGCAGCAACGCCGCGUGCGGGAAGAAGGCCUUAGGGUUGUAAACCGCUUUCAGCAGGGAAGAAAUGACGGUACCUGUAGAAGAAGGUGCGGCCAACUACGUGCCAGCAGCCGCGGUGACACGUAGGCACCAAGCGUUGUCCGGAUUUAUUGGGCGUAAAGAGCUCGUAGGCGGUUCGGUAAGUCGGGUGUGAAAACUCUGGGCUCAACCCAGAGCCGCCACCCGAUACUGCUGUGACUCGAGUGCGGUAGGGGAGCGGGGAAUUCCUGGUGUAGCGGUGAAAUGCGCAGAUAUCAGGAGGAACACCAGUGGCGAAGGCGCCGCUCUGGGCCGUGACUGACGCUGAGGAGCGAAAGCGUGGGUAGCAAACAGGAUUAGAUACCCUGGUAGUCCACGCCGUAAACGUUGGGCACUAGGUGUGGGUCUCAACCAACGAGAUCCGCGCCGUCGCUAACGCAUUAAGUGCCCCGCCUGGGGAGUACGGUCGCAAGACUA